rnacentral:rRNA from 1 species
AGAACGAACGCUGGCGGCAGGCUUAACACAUGCAAGUCGAACGCUCCGCAAGGGGAGUGGCAGACGGGUGAGUAACGCGUGGGAACAUACCCUCCGGUUCGGAAUAACUCAGGGAAACUUGAGCUAAUACCGAAUACGGUCGAGAGGCGAAAGAUUUAUCGCCGGAGGAUUGGCCCGCGUCCGAUUAGCUAGUUGGUGAGGUAAUGGCUCACCAAGGCGACGAUCGGUAGCUGGUCUGAGAGGAUGAUCAGCCACAUUGGGACUGAGACACGGCCCAAACUCCUACGGGAGGCAGCAGUGGGGAAUAUUGGACAAUGGGCGAAAGCCUGAUCCAGCCAUGCCGCGUGAGUGAUGACGGCCUUAGGGUUGUAAAGCUCUUUCAUCAGGGACGAUAAUGACGGUACUGAAGAAGAAGCCCGGCUAACUUCGCGCCAGCAGCCGC